AGUGAACGCUGGCGGUAGGCCUAACACAUGCAAGUCGAACGGCAGCACAGUAAGAGCUUGCUCUUACGGGUGGCGAGUGGCGGACGGGUGAGGAAUACAUCGGAAUCUACUUUUUCGUGGGGGAUAACGUAGGGAAACUUACGCUAAUACCGCAUACGACCUACGGGUGAAAGCAGGGGAUCUUCGGACCUUGCGCGAUUGAAUGAGCCGAUGUCGGAUUAGCUAGUUGGCGGGGUAAAGGCCCACCAAGGCGACGAUCCGUAGCUGGUCUGAGAGGAUGAUCAGCCACACUGGAACUGAGACACGGUCCAGACUCCUACGGGAGACAGCAGUGGGGAAUAUUGGACAAUGGGCGCAAGCCUGAUCCAGCCAUACCGCGUGGGUGAAGAAGGCCUUCGGGUUGUAAAGCCCUUUUGUUGGGAAAGAAAAGCAGCAGGUUAAUACCCCGCUGUUCUGACGGUACCCAAAGAAUAAGCACCGGCUAACUUCGU
rnacentral:rRNA from 1 species